AACGAACGCUGGCGGCAUGCCUAACACAUGCAAGUCGGACGAGACCUUCGGGUCUAGUGGCGCACGGGUGCGUAACGCGUGGGAACCUGCCCUUAGGUUCGGAAUAACGCCCCGAAAGGGGUGCUAAUACCGGAUAAUGUCUUCGGACCAAAGAUUUAUCGCCUUUGGAUGGGCCCGCGUUGGAUUAGCUAGUUGGUAGGGUAAAAGCCUACCAAGGCGACGAUCCAUAGCUGGUCUGAGAGGAUGAGCAGCCACACUGGGACUGAGACACGGCCCAGACUCCUACGGGAGGCAGCAGUGGGGAAUAUUGGACAAUGGGCGAAAGCCUGAUCCAGCAAUGCCGCGUGAGUGAUGAAGGCCUUAGGGUUGUAAAGCUCGUUUACCCGGGAUGAUAAUGACAGUACCGGGAGAAUAAGCUCCGGCUAACUCCGUG
rnacentral:rRNA from 1 species